rnacentral:rRNA from 1 species
GUGUCAGCCGCCGCGGUAAUACAUAGGGGGCGAGCGUUGUCCGGAAUGACUGGGCGUAAAGGGAGCGUAGGCGGUCAUGCAAGUUAUAUGUGAAAGCCCGGGGCUUAACCUCGGAACUGCAUGUAAAACUGCAUGGCUAGAGUGUGGGAGAGGAAAGUGGAAUUCCUAGUGUAGCGGUGGAAUGCGUAGAUAUUAGGAGGAACACCAGUGGCGAAGGCGGCUUUCUGGACCACAACUGACGCUGAGGCUCGAAAGCGUGGGGAGCAAACAGGAUUAGAUACCCUGGUAGUCCACGCCGUAAACGAUGGAUACUAGACGCAGGAGGUAUCGACUCCUACUGUGUCUGAAGCUAACGCAAUAAGUAUCCCGCCUGGGGAGUACGGCCGCAAGGUUGAAACUUAAAGGAAUUGACGG